GACGAACGCUGGCGGCGUGCUUAACACAUGCAAGUCGAACGGAAAGGCCCUUCGGGGUACUCGAGUGGCGAACGGGUGAGUAACACGUGGGUGAUCUGCCCUGCACUUUGGGAUAAGCCUGGGAAACUGGGUCUAAUACCGAAUAGGACCGCGCGCUUCAUGGUGUGUGGUGGAAAGCUUUUGCGGUGUGGGAUGGGCCCGCGGCCUAUCAGCUUGUUGGUGGGGUAAUGGCCUACCAAGGCGACGACGGGUAGCCGGCCUGAGAGGGUGACCGGCCACACUGGGACUGAGAUACGGCCCAGACUCCUACGGGAGGCAGCAGUGGGGAAUAUUGCACAAUGGGCGCAAGCCUGAUGCAGCGACGCCGCGUGAGGGAUGACGGCCUUCGGGUUGUAAACCUCUUUCACCAGGGACGAAGCGAAAGUGACGGUACCUGGAGAAGAAGCACCGGCCAACUACGUG
rnacentral:rRNA from 1 species